rnacentral:rRNA from 1 species
GACGGAGGAUGCAAGUGUUAUCCGGAAUCACUGGGCGUAAAGCGUCUGUAGGUGGUUUAAUAAGUCAACUGUUAAAUCUUGAGGCUCAACCUCAAAAUCGCAGUCGAAACUAUUAGGCUAGAGUAUAGUAGGGGUAAAGGGAAUUUCCAGUGGAGCGGUGAAAUGCGUAGAGAUUGGAAAGAACACCAACGGCGAAAGCACUCUGCUGGGCCGACACUGACACUGAGAGACGAAGGCUAGGGGAGCGAAUGGG